CUAGUUUAUGAAUCAAAUCUAGCUAAAAGUUACUACAUUUGAAGCAUUUUACUGGCGAUUUGGUAGAUCUAUCAAUGUGCCCGUACUUCGUAGGCUGUGUGAUGAAAUCUUUGAAAUCUGUGACACGUGACGUUAUUUGUCGAAAUUUCGCUAUAAUCAAAAAUCUAAAUCGAAUUUGAAAAUUUUACAGAGGGAAACUAGAUUUUGAUAUCUAAAAACGGAAAUUUUAAAAUUUGUAUGCGAUUUGACAGAUUUUUUAAUGGGGACAUUAAAUAUACAUGAUGGAGAUUGGGCCAUAGUAUUUUUUUUAUAAAUCGAUGAACUCCAAGCUGCAUACACGAAGAAUCAAGACUUCUCAUUUCUAAAAAUUGAAGUAUUAAAUAGGGUGAAUAGGGGUUAAAUGGCAUUAAAAAAAAAUAUUUAUUUCUAAACGAU